rnacentral:rRNA from 1 species
GACAGAGGGUGCAAACGUUGUUCGGAAUUACUGGGCGUAAAGCGCGUGUAGGCGGCUCGGAAAGUCGGGUGUGAAAGCCCUGGGCUUAACCCAGGAAGUGCACUCGAAACUUCCGAGCUGGAGUCCUGGAGAGGAAGGCGGAAUUCUCGGUGUAGAGGUGAAAUUCGUAGAUAUCGAGAGGAACACCGGUGGCGAAGGCGGCCUUCUGGACAGUGGACUGACGCUGAGACGCGAAAGCGUGGGGAGCAAACAGG